rnacentral:rRNA from 1 species
GUCCUGGCUGUAAACGCUGCGAGUUAGGUGUUGCAUAAACUACGGGUUUGUGCAGUGUCGAAAGAAGUUGUUAAACUCGCCGCCUGGGAAGUACGGUCGCAAGACUGAAACUUUAAGGAAUUGACGGGGAGCACCACAAGGGGUGCAGCGUGCGGUUUAAUCUAACUCAACGCAGAGAACCUCACUAGGGGCGACGGCAGGAUGAAGGUCAGUCUGAAGGGCUUACCUGACGAGCCGAGAGGUAGUGCAUGGCCGUCGU